GGAGGGGUGCCGGAGUGGUCGAACGGGUCUGACUCGAAAUCAGGAGUACGCGCAAGCGUACCGUGGGUUCAAAUCCCACCCCCUCCG
rnacentral:tRNA from 1 species